rnacentral:rRNA from 3 species
UGGGGAAUAUUGCACAAUGGGGGAAACCCUGAUGCAGCAACGCCGCGUGAAGGAUGAAGGUUUUCGGAUUGUAAACUUCUUUAGUCAGGGACGAAAAAAUGACGGUACCUGAAGAAUAAGCCACGGCUAACUACGUGCCAGCAGCCGCGGUAAUACGUAGGUGGCGAGCGUUGUCCGGAAUUACUGGGUGUAAAGGGCGUGUAGGCGGGAAUGUAAGUCAGAUGUGAAAUCCCAGGGCUUAACUCUGGAGCUGCAUCUGAAACUAUAUUUCUUGAGUGCCGGAGAGGAAAGCGGAAUUCCUAGUGUAGCGGUGAAAUGCGUAGAUAUUAGGAGGAACACCAGUGGCGAAGGCGGCUUUCUGGACGGUAACUGACGCUGAGGCGCGAAAGCGUGGGGAGCAAACAGG